GGCAGAGGGAGCCCGGCUCCCGUGUCCUGCGGGCUUCGGCCCGUUCGGGACACGAGGAAAGUCCCCCCACCGUCGGGCAGGUGACCGGGCGCAAGCCCGGAGCGGUCCGCUCGCGCGCGAACCCGAACCGAAGAAGACCGCGACGUUACCCGUCGCGGUCGAACAAGGAACGGAGAGGUAACCCACCGAGGCAUGGGGGGGGAGAACGGAUGGAACGGCGAAUCCUCACCGGUGCAAGUCCACACGAAAGGUAGCCCGGACACGAUGUGGACGCAGAGCCGAAUGCCGGGACGAACGGAAGGGGGCUUACUCCCCUCAGCC
rnacentral:RNase_P_RNA from 1 species